CUCUUUCACAGUUUCAUAUUUUUUCUCUUGCUUUUUUCCUAUAAAACUUUAGAAAAUUCAUAAGGAAAUCUAAGAAAAGUUUAGAUGGAUUAUGUGAUUGAAUUCACUUCAUAUUUUCCAUCAAAAUCCAUAUCUGUUGUGAAACACAAGUGCAGUAUUCUAAAAGCCAAAAACGCAUCGAUUUCAAGAAUUAUUCCCACUGAUAGAAAUAUUUUAAAUUAUACGUUAAUCGGAUUAGUAGCUCACCAGAUUUUUCGAACCCACUAAUGGAAGCCAUUCCCAGGUUGAAGAUGAAACUGAAGCAGCGCACUAACGGAGGUCAGAGGGAAGAAAAUGAAAAUGAUUGAAUUGGCUGGUAAAGUUGACCUCCACCUCCAAGAUUGUGGUUGAAUGUUUGGAGGAUUACUGUCGAAAUCAGCUCGUCAUUCUUCUGGGAAUUCCGAUCAACAGCAUUAGCGGCAUCAACCUUCCCCAUCACCGCCACUGCUAUCGGAGCAAAACCACACCCACAAGCAUGACAGGAAAUUAACUUGUAAUUAGGGGUGUUUAAAAUUAUUCGAAAACUGAAUUGAAUCAAUAUCCAAUUUUUUGAAUUUUUCUCGGACUAUAACUUCGGCUUGGUUCACUCAUUUUUCCAUUUUGAACAUUCCUACUUCCAAUUAGAAAGGGUUAAUUACAGUGGGUUGCUGAAAAGUUUCACUUUGCAUGAAGAAUUUUAUUCUGUUUUACAGAAAUCCAAUUAGAAAUCGGCCUUCUCAUUUGAAUCAUUAUCGGCUUCAUUGGAAGAACAUUGAUGAUGGCUUUGUGUCCCAUUUUGAAUGAUUUUUAGCUUCA